GAAAUAGGGUGCAAAUGGGUGGCAUGAGGGAAAGGCUAGAUCAAAAUAGGCCUCUGGACCCUUGGAGAGCCACUGACUUCAGCAACAUUUAAGCUGAACGAACAAGCUCUGCGUGGAGAGACGACCUCCGUACUGACGGUGCAAAGUACCACCGCCUCCGUGCUGCUGUUGCGACAGAGGUCUUGGUGGCAGCUUUACAUUCACUUCUCUCUUCCUGUGGAGAAGGAAGCUUCUAUGGGGAAUAUGUACCUAGGAGUAUAGUUAUGGUGGUUUUCUCU